AAGAGAGGAAGGAAAAUCAAGAGGUUGGCUGGUUUGCUGAUCAAGCACUGCUUAAGGCCUUAUUGAGGACUGAAUGCAGGGCAGCAAGCAGAACUGUACACAGUAAGAGAGAGGAGAUGACUCAGAUGUGGACUGCAGGAGUCAGCAGGCUGCUUCUAGAACUGAGCACCUCUUCCCCUGCCUCCUCACACUCCGCACCAGAUGCUCACUUCUGGAGGCCACCUUCAGAGCUGACCUUCCUGUCCCCCUUCCCUCUCACCAAGCUUAUGCAACAAGUACUUUGUCUGAAUCAGAAAUAACUUCUCCUGUGGUCAGGAGAGCUUAGUCAUUUCCUUUGCGUCAACACUGGCAUGCAGAUUUGUUAAAAAUAGAAAGCUCUGUUGUGCCAUUUACGGGGAGUGAAAGUUCUCUCAUUCAGACGCAUGAAUGAUAUGAGCCCCCUUUCUUUGGGCGUUCUCCUAGGAGCCCUUCUUACUUCCACAAGAAGCUUCCAUUGGCAUUGAAUUACUUCACAACAUUCCCCUUUCCACAAAGAACUGGGUCCUUCAGUUUAGAAAGCAGGAUCAUGCAUGACACCAAUUACACCAAUGGGUGUUUUCUGGUACCAGCUUUCAAAGGGGAGAGGAAGGAGGCCGAGGAGAACAACGUAGGAACAAUUCCUAAGGCAGUUUAGGAUGUGCUUCUUUACCAUAACUCCAAAGACAUCAGCAAUUUGUCAUACUGGAAUUGCAUACGCCUAGUUUCAGAAGGGAAAAAAAUACAAUUGGAGCUGCAAGCGUAUGCAGAGUACACAACAUCAGGUACGCUACUGAUCUCUGUUGGACAGCACAGAGCAAAAACCCAGACAGCGACGCAUCUGACAGCAACCUAAAUGGAUUUUUGUGCUAUCCCACUGCACUGCACCAGAGAUGCAGCAAAAGAGGGAGUUAUUUCCAAGAACCUCUGCAUUCCCAACACUGACUAUAGAGCGAAGCUUAGCGUUUCAUUAGCACGCACACUUAUAUCUCACACUGCUAGUUCAGAUGUGAUUACGUCACUCAAGAUAAAAAGUAGUGUUAAAGGCGAACAUCUGGUGCGGUUUUCCAGAUAGCUGACAUUCUUAAAGACUAAACAAAAUGUCACCGCAGCAGCAGAGUGUGUAAAAUUAAAGAGGUAAUUGAAGAUCACUCAACGUUAUCAGCGGAGCAAGUCUUCCUUAGCAUAAUUUCCUUAGUAUAAUAGCAAUACACUUAUCAUUCUGCCUGUAGCUGCUUGCUCCAACUCAUUGGUGCUUUUGGUAUCACAGGGAGGGGUAAUAUUUUGGCCACUGGCAGGAUUAUAGGCCCUU